GACGAACGCUGGCGGCGUGCUUAACACAUGCAAGUCGUACGGUAAGGCCCUUUCGGGGGUACACGAUUGGCGAACGGUUGAUUAACACGUGAGUAACCUGCCCACAACUUUGGGUUAACGCUAGGAACCUGUUGCUAUUACUGGAUAUGUGCUCCUGCUGCAUGGUGGGGGUUGGAAAGCUCCGGCGGUUGUGGAUGGACUCGCGGCCUAUCAGCUUGUUGGUGGGGUAGUGGCCUACCAAGGCGGCGACGGGUAGCCGGCCUGAGAGGGUGACCGGCCACAUUGGGACUGAGAUACGGCCCAGACUCCUACGGGAGGCAGCAGUGGGGAAUAUUGCACAAUGGGCGCAAGCCUGAUGCAGCAACGCCGCGUGCGGGAUGACGGCCUUCGGGUUGUAAACCGCUUUCAGCAGGGACGAAGCUAUUUGUGACGGUACCUGCAGAAGAAGCACCGGCUAACUACGUG
rnacentral:rRNA from 1 species